rnacentral:rRNA from 1 species
UAGGGAAUCUUCCACAAUGGGCGCAAGCCUGAUGGAACAACACCGCGUGAGUGAAGAAGGGUUUCGGCUCGUAAAGCUCUGUUGUUGGAGAAGAACGUGCGUGAGAGUAACUGUUCACGCAGUGACGGUAUCCAACCAGAAAGUCACGGCUAACUACGUGCCAGCAGCCGCGGUAAUACGUAGGUGGCAAGCGUUAUCCGGAUUUAUUGGGCGUAAAGCGAGCGCAGGCGGUUGCUUAGGUCUGAUGUGAAAGCCUUCGGCUUAACCGAAGAAGUGCAUCGGAAACCGGGCGACUUGAGUGCAGAAGAGGACAGUGGAACUCCAUGUGUAGCGGUGGAAUGCGUAGAUAUAUGGAAGAACACCAGUGGCGAAGGCGGCUGUCUGGUCUGCAACUGACGCUGAGGCUCGAAAGCAUGGGUAGCGAACAGGAUUAGAUACCCUGGUAGUCCAUGCCGUAAACGAUGAGUGCUAGGUGUUGGAGGGUUUCCGCCCUUCAGUGCCGGAGCUAACGCAUUAAGCACUCCGCCUGGGGAGUACGACCGCAAGGUUGAAACUCAAAGGAAUUGACGGGGGCCCGCACAAGCGGUGGAGCAUGUGGUUUAAUUCGAAGCUACGCGAAGAACCUUACCAGGUCUUGACAUCUUGCGCUAACCUAAGAGAUUAGGCGUUCCCUUCGGGGACGCAAUGACAGGUGGUGCAUGGUCGUCGUCAGCUCGUGUCGUGAGAUGUUGGGUUAAGUCCCGCAACGAGCGCAACCCUUGUUACUAGUUGCCAGCAUUUAGUUGGGCACUCUAGUGAGACUGCCGGUGACAAACCGGAGGAAGGUGGGGACGACGUCAGAUCAUCAUGCCCCUUAUGACCUGGGCUACACACGUGCUACAAUGGACAGUACAACGAGUU